rnacentral:snoRNA from 1 species
AAACGAUUAAUGGAUGCUGGCGUGUGUCACACAAUUAAAAUAACACAAUCGCAUCACUCCAUAAGCAAUCGUACAUUU